rnacentral:misc_RNA from 1 species
UUUCCGUAGGUGAACCUGCGAAAGGAUCAUUAUUGAAUAAACCUGAUGUGGUUGUAGCUGGCCCUUUCGGGAGCAUGUGCACACCCGUCGCCUUUAUCUUUCCACCUGUGCACCCUUUGUAGACCUGGAUGUAACACUUUCCGAGGCAACUCGGUCGGGAGGAAUGCUGUCAGCUUUCCUUGAAUGUCCAGGCCUAUGUUUUCAUAUACCCCAAAGAAUGUAACAGAAUGUAUUAUUGGGCCUUGUGCCUAUAAACUAUAUACAACUUUCAGCAACGGAUCUCUUGGCUCUC